CGCGUAGGCGGAUAUUUAAGUCUGGUGUGAAAACCUAGGGCUCAACCCUGGGACUGCAUCGGAAACUGGGUAUCUUGAGGACAGGAGAGGAAAGUGGAAUUCCACGUGUAGCGGUGAAAUGCGUAGAUAUGUGGAGGAACACCAGUGGCGAAGGCGACUUUCUGGACUGUAACUGACGCUGAGGCGCGAAAGCGUGGGGAGCAAACAGGAUUAGAUACCCUGGUAGUCCACGCCGUAAACGAUGAGUGCUAGGUGUAGAGGGUAUCGACCCCUUCUGUGCCGCAGUUAACACAAUAAGCACUCCGCCUGGGGAGUACGGCCGCAAGGUUGAA
rnacentral:rRNA from 1 species